UACGUAGGUACCGAGCGUUAUCCGGAUUCACUGGGCGUAAAGCGUGUGCAGGUGGUUUGGUAAGUCGGGCAUGAAAACUCUUGGCUCAACUGAGAGACGCUGUCCGAUACUGUCAAACUUGAGGGUGUAAGAGGGAGGUGGAAUUCCGCGUGUAGUGGUGAAAUGCGUAGAUAUGCGGAGGAACACCAGUGGCGAAGGCGGCCUCCUGGUACACUACUGACGCUCAUGCACGAAAGCGAGGGGAGCGAACGGG
rnacentral:rRNA from 1 species